GUUGGAAAUAAGGUUACAUAUAGUACGAUGCGACACAUUAUCAGAUGGUGGAAGAAUAUUUGCUUGCAAUUAAAAUUUCCAGAUGGCAAUAUAUUUCUGUAUGGACAAGUACAGUGUUAUCCAAAGGAAAACAUAAUGAGAAGUUUAAUGAAGUAGUCCGGCGUACGGAGUUUCUAUGAAUCAGCUGAAACUGAUAAAGCGUCUCACAAGGGUUCAUAGUGACAAACACGUGUUUGGGACAAGGUACUAAAUCAAUUGAUCUGUGUGCGAAGAAUCCUGUGCAAAUUAGUAGUGUAAAGUGGUGGUCGAAAACCUGGAGCUUGAACGGAAAUGACUGCACACAUCAAAGUAAAGCACUUUUACUGAAACUCACGGAUAUGCAACUUUAUGACAGUUCCUCUACG